rnacentral:lncRNA from 1 species
CAAAAACGAUUCCUGCCUUGAGGAACUCAUGAGCUAAUGGGGGAGACAACGAGCAAACAAAUAUGUACAAAAAUAUAUGUACAUAGGACAAAUAGGAAAUAAUCAGCAGAGAAAAAGCACUGUAAUUAAGAGAAUGCUCCCCGAGUGGCCCUCUAUUGCAAAUCCCAUCAUUCUCAGUGCUCUAAUUAAGUGAUCAGAUUGGAUAGAGCAUGAAUUGACAAGGCCCACUAAGGUGUCGGCUUUAUGUCAGGUAUGAUAUUAUCAGCACCCUGGAGACAGAACAAGGAACAAUACAUCAAAUUCAAAAGAAGCAGUUUUAUAAUAGAAGGAGGAGAAAAAGGCAGAAAGAGGUCACAGUGGAAAGAGCAAGGAGUCUGGAGCUGUCAUUCUGUGUUGGAACUCUUACUGAAGACACCACCAGAACUUCUGGCUGAGGACUACCAGGAAAUCCAUGUGGAGAUCAGAAAGCCCCUUUCAGGUCCUGAACUGGACUUCACUUUGCCAGAGAAGCACUUGGGGUUGGUAGGCUAGAUCAGGCUUUAUCUCCUUCCUAUAUUUCCCACUUUCACUAUCUCUAUCUUGUUGUAAAUAAAAGCUGCUAACAAUUCUUUUGACUUAGGGGC